CGGAAGCGCAGCCCUCUGCACGCCGCCACUUGCCGAGACCCCUGUGUUGGGCGCGGGCCGCCGCCGGCUUUCCGCGCUGGGGAAGCCGGGUGCCCUGGGUGGUGGGCCCUAGCGCGUGCUCCUGAGGCCCCGGGGCUUCCCACACGCCGCGCCAGCUGUCUGGGCCCCCGCGCCGCCCCAAACUUGACGCGCGCCGCCGGCAGUCUCGACCGCACCGUCCUCCCGCACCCCCAAGUUAACCUGCCCCGGGGCGGCUGCCACACCCCGGCAGCCGAAGCUCGGCGCUGGGGCGGUAACCAGCGAGAGCUCGCCCGCCAGAAGAACAUGAAGAAGCAGAGCGACUCGGUUAAGGGAAAGCGCCGAGAUGAUGGGCUUUCUGCUGCCGCCCGCAAGCAGAGGGACUCGGAGAUCAUGCAGCAGAAGCAGAAAAAGGCAAACGAGAAGAAGGAGGAACCCAAGUAGCUUUGUGGCUUCGUGUCCAACCCUCUUGCCCUACGCCUGUGUGCCUGGAGCCAGUCCCACCAUGCUCGAGUUUCUUCCUGUAGUGCUCACAGGUCCCAGCACCGAUGGCAUUCCCUUUGCC
rnacentral:lncRNA from 1 species